GAUGAACGCUGGCUGUGUGCCUAAUACAUGCAUGUCGAGCGGAAGUAGCAAUACUUUAGCGGCGAAUGGGUGAGUAACACGUGCUUAAUCUACCUCUUAGAUUGGAAUACCUAAUGGAAACAUUGGUUAAUGCCGGAUACGCAUGGAGUCGCAUGACUCCGUUGUGAAAGGGGCCUUUAAAGCUCCACUAAGAGAUGAGGGUGCGGAACAUUAGCUAGUUGGUGAGGUAACGGCCCACCAAGGCUAUGAUGUUUAGCCGGGGUCGAGAGACUGAACGGCCACAUUGGGACUGAGAUACGGCCCAAACUCCUACGGGAGGCAGCAGUAGGGAAUAUUCCACAAUGAGCGAAAGCUUGAUGGAGCGACACAGCGUGCACGAUGAAGGUCUUAUGGAUUGUAAAGUGCUGUUGCAAGGGAAGAAAAAGUAGUUGAGGAAAUGCUUCUACAUUGACGGUACCUUGUUAGAAAGCGAUGGCUAACUAUGUGCCAGCAGCCGCGGUAAUACAUAGGUCGCAAGCGUUAUCCGGAAUUAUUGGGCGUAAAGCGUUCGUAGGCUGUUUAUUAAGUCUGGAGUCAAAUCCCAGGGCUCAACCCUGGCUCGCUUUGGAUACUGGUAAACUAGAGUUGGAUAGAGGUAAGCGGAAUUCCAUGUGAAGCGGUGAAAUGCGUAGAUAUAUGGAAGAACACCAAAGGCGAAGGCAGCUUACUGGGUUUAUACUGACGCUGAGGAACGAAAGCGUGGGGAGCAAACAGGAUUAGAUACCCUGGUAGUCCACGCCGUAAACGAUGAUCAUUAGUCGGCAGAGAACUGUUGACGCAGCUAACGCAUUAAAUGAUCCGCCUGAGUAGUAUGCUCGCAAGAGUAAAACUUAAAGGAAUUGACGGGGACCCGCACAAGCGGUGGAGCAUGUGGUUUAAUUUGAAGAUACGCGGAGAACCUUACCCACUCUUGACAUCCUUCGCAAAGCUAUAGAGAUAUAGUGGAGGUUAACGGAGUGACAGAUGGUGCAUGGUUGUCGUCAGCUCGUGUCGUGAGAUGUUUGGUCAAGUCCUGCAACGAGCGCAACCCCUAUCUUUAGUUACUAACGAGUCAUGUCGAGGACUCUAGAGAUACUGCCUGGGUAACUGGGAGGAAGGUGGGGAUGACGUCAAAUCAUCAUGCCUCUUACGAGUGGGGCAACACACGUGCUACAAUGGUCGGUACAAAGAGAAGCAAUAUGGCGACAUGGAGCAAAUCUCAAAAAGCCGAUCUCAGUUCGGAUUGAAGUCUGCAAUUCGACUUCAUGAAGUCGGAAUCGCUAGUAAUCGCAGAUCAGCUAUGCUGCGGUGAAUACGUUCUCGGGUCUUGUACACACCGCCCGUCACACCAUGGGAGCUGGUAAUACCCAAAGUCGGUUUGCUAACCUCGGAGGCGACUGCCUAAGGUAGGACUGGUGACUGGGGUG
rnacentral:rRNA from 1 species